AUUUACAAGUUAGUACAUUUUGAUGAACUUUACUGUAAAUUCUUAUGAACUUGCGGUUGAUCUGGGGUUCAAUUCUUGGCUGUAGCAUCUUUUUUAACAAAUUAAAUAGAUUUGUGGGUUCGUCAGUUAUAUUGAAAAGUUCAUUAAUCUCAUUUACAGCUUCUCACUAGAAUUGAACCCUAUAUAUAUAUAUAUAUAU
rnacentral:lncRNA from 1 species